GUCAAGCUACAAAGGGCUCACGGUGGAUACCUUGGCACACAGAGGCGAUGAAGGACGUAGUUACCUGCGAUAAGUCUCGGGGAGCUGGAAACACGCAUUGAUCCGGGAAUUUCCGAAUGGGGCAACCCCUAGAACGGCCACCUGAAUUCAUAGGGUGGCGCGAGCCAACCCAGCGAACUGAAACAUCUUAGUAGCUGGAGGAAAGGAAAGUAAAAACGACUCCCUCAGUAGCGGCGAGCGAACGGGGAAGAGCCUAAACCGAUGCUUUCGAGCAUCGGGGUUGUGGGACAGCAAC
rnacentral:rRNA from 1 species